rnacentral:sRNA from 1 species
UUAAAUGGAGGAACAAAUUGUAGAUAUGUCAUAUGUAAUCUAAUUUGUUCGUGCAGAGUUUUUGAGCAAAAAGUUAUGCAUGUGAUUCUUGAAUUAGUGAGAAUUAUUAAGGGCAUCUCCAUCAGUGAGAUAUUUUCUUGGUUUCUCAAAAAAGAAAGAUAUUAGUAUUUUAAUAAAUAUUAGUUAUAUAAUUAAAUUUUAACAAUAAAAUAAUAUUUGACCAAUAAAUGAUAUACAAGUGUUUUUAUGGGUUUCUCAGAGUUUCUCACUUGAGAGACUAAUUCUAGUCUCUCUCAUACUUUUUGAUUAUAUUUUAUUUUUCUAUUGAACAGUUUCUAAAUGAGAAACCAUUGAUGGAGAUGGUUAAACCACCAAAAAGUAAAUAAGUUUGCACCAAAAAGAAAACUGUCAACCUCUCGGGACGCACCAUGUGUGAGGGGAAAGAGAGUUUUCCUAAAAGACUUUGCAAUGCUCAAAUUAGAAAAUAAUAAAAAAGGGUUGGUUAAAGGAAAAAGCAAACGCAUACAA